GAAAGGGGGGCAACCCCCGAGUAGAGUGGCGAACGGGUGAGUAAUACAUCGGAACGUAUCCAGUAGCGGGGGAUAACCUCUCGAAAGAGAGGCUAAUACCGCAUACGACCUACGGGUGAAAGAGGGGGAUCGCAAGACCUCUCACUAUUGGAGCGGCCGAUGUCGGAUUAGCUAGUUGGCGGGGUAAAAGCCCACCAAGGCUACGAUCCGUAGCUGGUCUGAGAGGACGACCAGCCACACUGGAACUGAGACACGGUCCAGACUCCUACGGGAGGCAGCAGUGGGGAAUUUUGGACAAUGGGCGCAAGCCUGAUCCAGCCAUGCCGCGUGAGUGAAGAAGGCCUUCGGGUUGUAAAGCUCUUUCGGCGGGGACGAAAAGGUCCGUGUUAACACCAUGGAUCCAUGACGGUACCCGCAGAAGAAGCACCGGCUAACUACGUGCCAGCAGCCGCGGUAAUACGUAGGGUGCAGGCGUUAAUCGGAAUUACUGGGCGUAAAGCGUGCGCAGGCGGUUUGCUAAGACAGGUGUGAAAUCCCCGGGCUUAACCUGGGAACUGCGCUUGUAACUGGCAAGCUAGAGUGUAGCAGAGGGGGGUGGAAUUCCACGUGUAGCAGUGAAAUGCGUAGAGAUGUGGAGGAACACCGAUGGCGAAGGCAGCCCCCUGGGCUAACACUGACGCUCAUGCACGAAAGCGUG
rnacentral:rRNA from 1 species